CGUCCUACGGGGCGCAGCAGUGGGGAAUAUUGCACAAUGGGGGAAACCCUGAUGCAGCGAUGCCGCGUGGAGGAAGAAGGUUUUCGGAUUGUAAACUCCUUUUAUCAGGGACGAUAAUGACGGUACCUGAAGAAAAAGCUCCGGCUAACUACGUGCCAGCAGCCGCGGUAAUACGUAGGGAGCGAGCGUUGUCCGGAAUUACUGGGUGUAAAGGGAGCGUAGACGGUGCGUCAAGUCUGAAGUGAAAGCCCGGGGCUUAACCCCGGGACUGCUUUGGAAACUGGCGCGCUAGAGUGCUGGAGAGG
rnacentral:rRNA from 1 species